rnacentral:lncRNA from 1 species
GGUUGUCCUGCUGUAAGGUUUACCCCUUACAGUGCAAAGGUUGUCUUGGUAUGUUGCGAUCUAAAAAAUUUAAAAGAGUUUAAAUAAAUCUUAUCAUGAAUGUUUCAGAUUAAGUCUAUUUUAUUUCAUAAAUUUUUAUGUAAUGUAUAUAGAUUAAAAUUAGCCUAGAACAGGAUCUUGCGAAGGUUCUAUUUGCUGAUCGGGCC